rnacentral:rRNA from 1 species
UCCGUAGGGUGCAGGCGUUGUUCGGAAUUACUGGGCGUAAAGCGUGCGCAGGCGGUUUCUUAAGUCAGAUGUGAAAGCCCCGGGCUUAACCUGGGAACUGCGUUUGAAACUGGGAGACUUGAGUGUAGCAGAGGGGGGUGGAAUUCCACGUGUAGCAGUGAAAUGCGUAGAUAUGUGGAGGAACACCGAUGGCGAAGGCAGCCCCCUGGGUUAACACUGACGCUCAUGCACGAAAGCGUGGGGAGCAAACAGG